AACGUAGGAGACAAACGUCAUCCGGAGUUACUGGGCGUAAAGGGCGUGUAGGCGGUUAGUUAAGUCUGGCGUGAAAGCUCUCGGCUAAACCGGGAGAGGUCGUUGGAUACUGGCUGACUAGAGGACGGUAGAGGCGUGUGGAAUUCCGGGUGUAGUGGUGAAAUGCGUAGAGAUCCGGAGGAACACCAGUGGCGAAGGCGACACGCUGGGCCGUACCUGACGCUAAAGCGCGACAGCAUGGGGGAGCAAACGGGG
rnacentral:rRNA from 1 species